GAACUAGAGUUGUAUAGAUUACGAAUCAUAGACUUCCAUUGAAUUUAAGGAAAAACUAAGCAAAUAUAUCGCUUUGAUUAAUAAGGAAAUCCACCUAGCUUUCCGUUUUCUCAAAAUAAAAUUAGGUUUAAGGUAACCUAAACCUUAAGGCAGAUAGCUUUUUAAAGAUAAAAUUUGUCGAUGUAAGCUAAGGAAAAACCUAUUUCACCCUGCUUGACCUACCCAUUAGCAGUGACCUCGAGUACAUUAAUAACCUCGGGCUACUACAUUUAGAAAAUCGAAAAUCCAAUCCUGGUUUCUAGCUCAGUAGUUCAAUCACCUGCACGGCGUGCACUAGUGUAGAAAUAUCCCUUUGGGUGCUUUGAUUGUGUUUAUCGCCUUCACGUUUCGAUUAAAAUAUAGUUCACCUGCUGGAUACCUAUUUUUCGAAUACACCAAUCACACACUAUGAAAGCCUCACCUAAGCACUAGAUUUUGCCUCUGCACUAGUCUAGCUAGUUUAGCCUAGAGAGAUCAGAAAAAGUAGAUUAAAUUAGGGAUACAUAAGUAUAGUUACCUUAAGUUUGGCACAAUCAUCCUCGCCCGUUAGUUUUGCACGAUGCUGUCUUCACGCAACGCAUUUCGUAUAUUUCCACCCUUGCAUUUUGCAAUUUGCACAACAACUUGCCUUCUCAAACCUAGUAUAAAUGAAAAAACACCUUCACGUUAACUCCCACGACUAAAUCUAACUACUGAUCAUUAACGAUUUUGUUUUCAGGACCUCUCUGUUAAAAUUUAUUUGUUAUUCAUGUACUUGAUGUGUGUAAGAAUUAAGCAGAAGGUUGUUGUUCUUCGAUUAAUCAAAGGCUAUUCUUUUCCCUUUGUUUUUAUUUCAUUCACAAUAAAUUAGGAAGGCAAUCUCUGGGUGUCACCAUGGACUGAAGAACACCGGGGAUCGUUGCCGAAGAUAGUUGGCGAAGAUCGUCGCCACCAAAAAAAGGUAUCCGUGAUAAGUUAAAAUGUAUUAAUUGUGUUUUCUUAUCGUUUAUGGAGCUAGAAUGGCCAAGGAACCGAAGAGGCUCAACGGGGAUCAUUGUGGGAUCUACAAGAACGCCGUGGGGUCUACAAGAGCGCCGUGGGAUCUACACGAACGUCGUUGAAUUUACGAGAACGUCGCUAAAAAUAGGUAUCAGUGAUAAGUUAAAGUGUAUUAAUGGUGUUUUCUUGUAGUUUAUGUAGCUAUAUUGGCCAAGGAACCGAAGAGGCUCAACGGGGAUCAUCGUGGGAUCUACAAGAACGCCAUGGGGUCUACAAGUACGCCGUGGGAUCUACACGAACGUCGUUGGAUUUACGAGAACGUCGCUAAAAAUAGGUAUCCGUGAUAAGUUAAAGUGUAUUAAUGGUGUUUUCUUGUAGUUUCUGUAGCUAUUUUGGCCAAGGAACCGAAGAGGCUCAACGAGGAUCAUCGUGGGAUGUACGAGAACGCCGUGGGAUCUACGAGAACGUCGCAAAAAAUUGGUAUCCGUGAUAAUUUAAAAUGUAUUAAUUGUGUUUUCUUGUCGUUUAUGUAGCUAGAAUGGCCAAGGAACCCAAGAGGCUCAACGGGGAUCAUCGUGGGAUCUACGAUAACGCCGUGAGAUCUACGAGAACGCCGUGGGAUCUACGAGAUCAUCGCUUCGAGUAUCCUGAGAUUUACGCCUUAUGGAUAAAGAAGAAAAGAAGAUGGCCACAUUCGUUCCUGGAACUGUUGCGGCGUCGGUGGUGGAAAUCCUGUCACUGUCGUAAGGACUGGCCUAGGUGAGGAUCGAAUACCGUUGUCCUUUUCCAGUCGAUAUGGAUUAGCCUUCUUUACAGAAGGCGGAAUACCAUCUUCCGGUACG